rnacentral:lncRNA from 1 species
GGAAAAAAGUGAAAUUACAGCAACGGGAUGACUUAAGCUGAAAAAAAUAUGAACCUCACGCAAGCGUCAUCAAAAACGGGGAAAAAUCUUCGAAAAUCAAAAAAAAUGGUACCGAACGCAGACGCAAAGGGUUUAUCAUUUUUUUUUAAAUGGGACGAUUAAUGUAGAAAAAACGCAGACACAAGAACAUGUGUGGCCAGGGGACUGGCGAUACGGCGACCCUCGGCAUUGUUCAAAUUGAAAAGGAAUCAUCACGGACUCGGGCGAUCAAAUUUGCAUACGCAGGACGAAGGACGAACCACCACCACCACCAACAACAACAGCGACAAAGCGACAGCGUCUCCUUAUCUAUUUGCCUUCCAGAAUCCAGGUAUAAAAGACUGCUGUCCUCUCUCUCACACACACAUGCGCGGGGAAUGAUAAAUACUUUUUUUCUCCACACUUUUUUUUAGGAAGUUUUUUCACUUUUUUUUACCACUUUCAAUUUUUUGUAUGCAGCGUUUUAUUCAAAUUGCGAUCCGAGACUGUCGUGUGAAGUUUCGUCUUGAGAAGAUUUUGCCCCGAAACGAAGGAUGCGCACCAGAGCCUGGGAACAUCCGCGACCGAAGGACACCGAAAGAGCCACAGCCUGUACAGAGACUGUUCAUUUGCUUAGACAUCUGAUUACCUUGCCCAAGGUAGCAGAAGCCAAGGAUAUACAUAUACAAAUAUGUUGUUUACUAGGUGCCAUUACUGGGAUAGGAUUUGCUGUCUUUUUUUUUCUUUUAAUCUCAAACAAUUCGUUUUAGUAAAUAAAGAAAAUUACAAGUGGGUGCUACUAAGUAUUAUAAUUUUGAAGUAAACAUUUCUC